CAGCGGAGAUCCAGCAUUCCUCUGACGAACCAAUGACUUCUCAAAUAUCUUCUACUUUAUCAGAUAGACACAGUCAACAGUGACAGGAAAUGGAGAGGGGCCUUGGCUGGAUUCAACUCUGGAUGGCUGCUGUGUGCUCCACCAGGUUGUGUGGAGACGCCGGAGAGAACCCACGCAGGCACUGGGAGAGCAUACAAAAGCCGCACCAGGGUUUGAACCAGAACCUUCUUACUGUGAGGUGAUAGAGCUUACCACUGCACCACCACACUGCCCAAAUUUGCCUUAGCUUAAUGAAAUUAUUGUGUUAAAUUCAGUGAAUGUGAGAUUAAAAUAUUUCAAAUGACUAUUUUGUCAUGAAAUCAGUUUAAUUUUUUAUGUUUCAUAUCCAUAUUUCU